rnacentral:rRNA from 1 species
GAUGAACGCUGGCGGCGUGCCUAAUACAUGCAAGUCGAGCGAACAGACGAGGAGCUUGCUCCUCUGAUGUUAGCGGCGGACGGGUGAGUAACACGUGGAUAACCUACCUAUAAGACUGGGAUAACUUCGGGAAACCGGAGCUAAUACCGGAUAACAUGUUGAACCGCAUGGUUCAACAGUGAAAGACGGUCUUGCUGUCACUUAUAGAUGGAUCCGCGCCGCAUUAGCUAGUUGGUAAGGUAACGGCUUACCAAGGCAACGAUGCGUAGCCGACCUGAGAGGGUGAUCGGCCACACUGGAACUGAGACACGGUCCAGACUCCUACGGGAGGCAGCAGUAGGGAAUCUUCCGCAAUGGGCGAGAGCCUGACGGAGCAACGCCGCGUGAGUGAAGAAGGUCUUCGGAUCGUAAAACUCUGUUAUUAGGGAAGAACAAAUGUGUAAGUAACUAUGCACGUCUUGACGGUACCUAAUCAGAAAGCCACGGCUAACUACGUG